GUAUGAAGAAGGCCUUCGGGUUGUAAAGUACUUUCAGUCAGUGAGGAAGGUGGAUAUGUUAAUAGCAUAUUCAUUUGACGUUUAGCUGCAGAAGAAGCACCGGCUAACUCCGUGCCAGCAGCCGCGGUAAUACGGAGGGUGCGAGCGUUAAUCGGAAUUACUGGGCGUAAAGCGCAUGCAGGUGGUUUGUUAAGUCAGAUGUGAAAGCCCGGGGCUCAACCUCGGAAUUGCAUUUGAAACUGGCAAACUAGAGUACUGUAGAGGGGGUAGAAUUUCAGGUGUAGCGGUGAAAUGCGUAGAGAUCUGAAGGAAUACCGGUGGCGAAGGCGGCCCCCUGGACAGAUACUGACACUCAGAUGCGAAAGCGUGGGGAGCAAACAGGAUUAGAUACCCUGGUAG
rnacentral:rRNA from 1 species